UACAGAGGUCUCAAGCGUUGUUCGGAUUCAUUGGGCGUAAAGGGUGUGUAGGUGGCGCCGUAAGUCGGGUGUGAAAUUUCCGGAGCUUAACUCCGAAACUGCAUUCGAUACUGCGGUGCUUGAGGACUGGAGAGGAGACUGGAAUUCAUGGUGUAGCAGUGAAAUGCGUAGAGAUCAUGAGGAAGACCAGUGGCGAAGGCGGGUCUCUGGACAGUUCCUGACACUGAGACACGAAGGCCAGGGGAGCAAACGGG
rnacentral:rRNA from 1 species